GACGAACGCUGGCGGCGUGCCUAAUACAUGCAAGUCGAACGCAGUGGGGACGAGUGAGUAACACGUGGGUAACCUCCCAUCAGAGGGGAUAACACUUGGAAAUAGGUGCUAAACCGAUACCGAUGGAUGGACCCGCGGUGCAGUAGCUAGUUGGUGAGGUAACGGGUCUCAAAGGCCACGAUGCAUAGGCGGCCUGAGAGGGUUAUGUGCCUCACUGGGACUGAGAGACGGCCCAGACGGCUACGGCAGGUAGCAGUAGGGAAUCUUCGGGAUUGGACGAAAGUCUGACCGAGCAACGCCGCGGGAGUGAAGAGGGUUAUGAGAUCGUAAAAGUCUGUUGUUAGAGAAGCGGUAUCUAGCCAGAAAGCCACGGCUAACUACGUGCCAGCAGCCGCGGUAAUUC
rnacentral:rRNA from 1 species